ensembl:lncRNA
GUGUGAUGAUAUUUGCAUACCAUCAGAGGACUUUGGACCAAGUCAGAAUGAUAGCCUCAGUGUCUGACCAGCAUCAUCCCUACAUAAGUGUUCUUCAGCGUUUCAACAACUCAGCAACUCUCACACUUCAAACUACUACAGAUCAAGGUGAGAAGAGGACAGAGCAACGAAUUGUAGAAAUCUAAGGAUAAUGACAAGUAAGGAAAGGAGAGGUGAGGAGUGACUCAGUGGGAGGCCAUUUAACUCUCAGAUGGAGGACAGGCCUCCCUUUGUCUUGACCGGGAGGGAGGGAGUCCUUCCCCUGGAGAAGAGGAGAGGAAGAAAUUCCUUUCAAUUCAUCUCACUGUUCCUCUCAUCAGACACAGGGAAAGCGUGACCCAUGGUUGAAUCUUUCCUGUGCUAGUCAGUGAAUUAUUGUCCAACGGUCCACAUCAAGUCAGCUGAGGCUGACCAACAGUCGCAGAAUGGGGAACACCAACACUGCCAGCCACCUCAACAACCAGAGCAAGAUGAACAUCCGUGCUUUCCUGUCCAAUGCCAAGCUAGAGAUCGAUGCCUUCAUCGUCUCCAAUGCUGCCGCUGGCAGCAGUGACACAUUGACCAAGCUGCAGCAGCAGCCCGGUGGCAAGACGUUCAACUUCAGGAAAGACGUGCAGUGUGUCCGUGUGCUGGCCUUGCAGAGUCAAGAGCUGCCUUGGGUGGAGAACAAAUUUAUCUCCGUCUUUGUGGAGGACGAGAACGAUGAAAACAUAUGUUCCAGACAGAUUGUUCCGUGCAUGGCUUUGUCCUCUCCUGUGUCUUUCAUCUUAUAUAUGAUGUAUAGCUAUAGCAAUGAUUGAUCCCAUUGAAAUUGUACUCUUUGGUUAAUAUCAUUAGAAGGUGCUCUGACCAGUUCCGACAUUGGCCAUUGUCAGGCAUUCACUAAGGUUGUUUCCCUGAUUUUGAAUCUGUUCAUUUGAACAAACAUGCCAUUGAAAAAGAAGGCUUUUCAAAUAAGUCAUCACAGAACAAACCACAAAACACCUCACGAAUGUGAAAAUGCGCAUUUGUACCUGAACAUUUGAAUGUUGACUCAUCUUUCAGUGAAAUGUAACUAAAUCUAUGUCACUUCUUUAGGGACUUUGGUAUCAUUGACAGCUUCUGAAAAACCUGUAUUCUUCUGUAUCCUUCAAAUAAAACUGUUAGAUGACUUCA